GAACCCGUGGCCUAGUUGGAUAGGGCAGCUGCCUCCUAAGCAGCAGGUCGGGAGUCCGAAUCUCCCCGGGUUCGCCA
rnacentral:tRNA from 1 species